GGCCUCGUAGCUCAACAGGCCAGAGCGCCGCCCUCAUAAGGCGGAGGUUGCGGGUUCGAGUCCCGCCGAGGCUACCA
rnacentral:tRNA from 1 species